UGCCAGCAGCCGCGGUAAUUCCAGCUCCAAUAGCGUAUAUUAAAGUUGUUGCAGUUAAAAAGCUCGUAGUUGAAUUUCGAGACCGGUUUACUGGUCGUGCUUUUGUACGUACUGGUAUAAUCAGUUUCUCUCUUCUGACGAACUAUAAUGCCAUUAAUUUGGUGUUAUGGAAAUCAGGACUGUUACUUUGAAAAAUUAGAGUGUUUAAAGCAGGCUCACGCUUGAAUACAUUAGCAUGGAAUAACGAAAUAGGACGUUUGAUUCUAAUUUUGUUGGUUUCUAGGAUCGACGUAAUGAUUAAUAGGGAUAGUUGGGGGCAUUAGUAUUCAAUUGUCAGAGGUGAAAUUCUUGGAUUUAUUGAAAGACUAACUACUGCGAAAGCAUUUGCCAAGGAUGUUUUCAUUAAUCAAGAACGAAAGUUAGGGGAUCGAAGACGAUCAGAUACCGUCGUAGUCUUAACCAUAAACUAUGCCGACUAGGGGAUCGGAUGAUGUUAAUUUUUUAAUGACUCAUUCGGCGCCUUACG
rnacentral:rRNA from 1 species